rnacentral:rRNA from 1 species
UACGGGGGGGAGCAAGCGUUGUUCGGAUUUACUGGGCGUAAAGGGCGCGUAGGCGGCGCAACAAGUCACUUGUGAAAUCUCCGGGCUUAACCCGGAGCGGCCAAGUGAUACUGUCGUGCUAGAGUGCGGAAGGGGCUACUGGAAUUCUCGGUGUAGCGGUGAAAUGCGUAGAUAUCGAGAGGAACACCAGUGGCGAAGGCGACUACCUGGCCUGUUCUUGACGCUGAGGCGCGAAAGCCUAGGGGAGCAAACGGG